rnacentral:lncRNA from 1 species
UUGCCUUUUGGGAGACUCCUCACCUACACGUGAUUCCAGACUCUGGUAUGCAUAUGCUUAGAUACAAUGAGGCUAGAAUCCAUGAGAUAGAAUAUUCAAGACUGUUAGUGUCAGAACUGAAGACAUUAAUAUGCAAAAAAAGCAGAAAUGGAGAGAUGAUAAAUAUUAAUGAUUGACUGAGGGGUACCUAAUGGCUUAGAGAGUGAGAUCUCUGUGUAAAUGCACCACAUGUACUGAAAGUUCCCUUUUCCCUUUGAGAAGCCUCUGAAGCACUUAAAAGAAUCUCUCUAGAUUUCUACUUAUGCCCUCCAUCCAGGUACCCCUGCUUUAUAUCUUGGUGUUGAUUCCUAACCCCUUUCCACCUCCCUGCCCAGGACCUUUGACUAAAGCCCCUACUAGACCUCUGCUUAGCUCCAGUGUUUUCCUUGCCCCUGGAAAGAUCCCUUGUUUUUAUGCCUUGGCUUCCCCACAUGCUCAGCCACCAAGCCUAGGAUCCAGGAAACUCUAAUGGUCACAGGUGCCAGAACACCCCCUUGGCUGAGAGGGAUAUUCAUGAGGUCAAGUUCAGUGUAACCAUCCCUGGAGGAAAAGGGAUUCAGGGAGAGUCCUGAAAGGCAACAGCUCAGGAUUGUAAAAUUGAAAUUUGGUAGUCCAUAUAAAAACUUCCAGCAAGAAGCUAUAUUUCGUUCUUUUCUUUUCUCUUUUUUCUUUCUUUGUCCUUUUAAGGCUGCACCUGCAGCAUAUGGAAGUUCCCAGGCUAAGGGUUGAAUCAGAGAUACAGCUGCUGGCCUAUACCACAACCACAUCAAUGCGGGAUUCGAGCCACAUCUGCAGCAUAAACCACAUCUCACGGCAAUGCCAGAUCCUUAACCCACUGAACGAUGCCAGGGAUCAAACUCACAUCCUCAUGGAUACUAGUUUGGUUUGUUACUGCUGAGCCAUGACAGGAACUCCAAGAAGCUAUAUUUCUAACAGACUCUUAAGGACUUUGCUGUUUUGUGACUUAUACUAUACAAGGCAAUAGGAUUCCUUGAAUCUAGGGACUGAGUCAUAUUUGCUCUUAGUCCCAGAGACUAGCACUUUACAUGAAACAUGGUAAGCCCACAACACAACACAUUUUUUGGAUAAAAUCCAUUUCUAACUUGUGUAUGUGUUCAUUCAGAAUUGUGGGAAUAUCAGGCAUGCUGAUGGAGGAAUCAUUGAGUAUAAAAAGGAAAGGUUAAAUGUGUUUGACAACUGUUGCUUUGUACAUUCUUGCAGAGCAGGCAGGGAUUGGUGAAUGAGCAAGCAAUGGCUUGGAAUAAUAAACUAUCACUGUCUGUACAAAUCCAAGAAAUCCUGGUGUCAAGUGUUGGAGGGAAAGCAAAGUACUAUUGGCCAUUCUUAGAGAUAGGACUUGAAGUGGAGAGAGAAACUAAUGCAUGAGAAGGAGUUCCUGCUAUGGACAGUGGAAACAAAUCUGACGAGUAUCCAUGAGGACGUGGGUUCAAUCCCUGACCUUGCUCAGUGGGUUAAAGAUCUGGCAUUGCCGUGAACUGUGGUGUGGGUCGUAGAUGUGGCAUGGAUCUGGCAUUGCUGUGGCUGUGGUGUAGAACAGCAGCUAUAGCUCUGAUUCAACCCCUAGCCUGGAAACUUCCAUAUGCCACACUUGAAGCCCUAAAAAGCAAAAAAAAAAAAAAAAAAAAAAAAAAAAGCAGGAGAAUCCUUAAUCUUCAGUAAAUAUCACCUUACCUCUAGACACACAUUCACUUCCUCCCUCUCACUCACAGAUUCUGACCCAUUCUGGUUCAGGAAGGGGCACACAGGCAGCUUAUUAUCAUAACACGGGUCCCAAGCUAAGAGGGUACCUGAUGGCAUUUUUAAACUGAAAUCAUUUAAAAAAUACUAGUAUAAAUCCCAUGUUAAUUUUUAAAAACAUUUUUAUUAAAGUAUAGUUGAUUUACAAUGUCGUGCUGAUUUCUGCUAUAAAGCAAAGUGAUCUGUUAUAUAUACACAACAUAUAUUACAUACCUAUUCUUUUUUUUUUUUUUUGGUCUUUUUGUUUUUUUAGGGCUGCACUAGUGGCAUAUGGAGGUUCCCAGGCUAGAGGUCUAAUCAGAGCUACAGCUUCCGGCCUACACCACAACCAUAGCAAUGCCAGAUUCGAGCCGAGUCUGUGACCUGUACCACAGCUCACGGCAACGCCAGACCCUUAACCCAUGAGCAAUGCAUGAGAUCAAACCCUAGUCGGAUUCAUUUCCAACUGUGCCAUGAUGGGAACUCCUAUUCUUUUUUAUAUUCUUUUGCAUCAUGGUUUAUCCCAGGAGAUUGGAAAUAGUUCCCUGUGCUACACAGUAGGAACUUUUUGUUAAUUCUUAAUUAUGUUUGACUCAUCAAUCUCUUUGAGAACCUAAUAAAAAGCUAUGGACUAUCUUUCCAGAAAAAUGAAUAUAAAGGACACAGGCACAGAACUUUUCAGAUACACAUAAUUUCAGGACAUUUAUAGAUAAUUGUGAAGGAGAAUCUUAAAGUCUUCAUGUCAAAAAUCUCUUGUUAAUGUGGGAAAAAUAUUUCUAUGAAGUGAAUAAUUAUUACUUAAUCAAUCCAUUUAUGCAUGUAUUUACGACAGGAAUUGCAACUCAGCUACCUGUGAGGGUCAGGCAGGAAACCUAACACAGUGGUUCAGAGGGCAGAGGCAGUGGCCCAGGAAUUAUGGGGAUGUGGUGGCCUGGUGCACACAUACUCCUGGAAAAGGCAGAUGUGCCUCAGCCCACCACUUGUGGACAUGUAGUCUCAGUUUUACUAGAAUUUAGAUUUUUCUUUCCUGCUUUUUAGGGCUGCACCCACAGCGUACGGAAGUUCCCAGGCUAGGGGUCAGGUCAGAGCUAUAGCUGCUGGCCUACACCACAGCCACGCAGGAUCCAAGCUGUGUCUAUGACCUAUACCACAGCUCUCAGCAAUGCUGGAUCCUUAACUCACUGAGCGAGGCCAGGUAUCCAACCUGAAUCCUCAUGUAUACUAAUCAGAUUCGUUUCUGCUACACCACAACGGGAACUCCCAAAUUUAGAUUUUUAUGGAAAGAUAAAAAUCUGAUUUUAUUACACUUCCUGAUUUUCAGCAGACUAUGCAAGCAAACAAAACAUGACUGAUUACACUUCCUUUGACAACAUUUUCUUAAAAAUUGUUGCAUGUACAGAAAAGAAGAAUUAUGCAGUGAAUACUCCUACAUGUCCCCCAACCCCCUGUUUCUACAGGAAACUUUUGGCUUUUUUGCUUAUCACAUAUCUAUCCAUCCAACCAUCCCUCCACCCACCCACCCAUUCAUCUUAAUUUUUAUGCAUUUCAGUAUACUCCCACAGAAACACUUCUGGUCGCUCACUUUUGGUCUCUAUUUUGAUCUAUUUUGAUUCAUUUAUUGGAAUGUGUGCAUGCAUGUGUAGGUGUGUGCGAGUAUGCACACAUCCAUGUGUGUGUUUUAUUUUUUUUUAAAUCUGUUUAUUUUAUUCUAUUUUAUUUUAUUUUUGUCUUUUUGCCAUUUCUUGAACCGCUCCCACGGCAUGUGGAGGUUCCCAGGCUAGGGGUCGAAUCAGAGCUGUAGCCACCGGCGUACGCCAGAGCCACAGCAAUGCAGGAUCCGAGCCGCGUCUGCAACCUACACCACAGCUCACGGCAACGCCGGAUCGUUAACCCACUGAACAAGGGCAGGGACCGAACCCACAACCUCAUGGUUCCUAGUCGGAUUCGUUAACCACUGCGCCACGACGGGAACUCCCAUGUGUGUGUUUUAAAUGAAGCUUCUGUGUCCGAGCUGACACAUUUGGGGCAUGCAAUAGUUAACCAGUGACGCUGCUGCACUGCUGUGAGCCGGACCAAAAUUUGAUGGUGUUACAUAGUGACUGUCAUGGAAUGGGAGUGAAGUGGGUGAUGAUGGGGAGUGACUUGAGUUUCAGAAAUCAUUUUUUGGCUAGAUUCAAAUCUGAGAGUUAUCGUUACUGCUGAAGUUAAGAAUAAAAGCAAUGUUCCCAUGGCCAUAAAAAUAAUGCAAAACAUUGACUGUGGAAGAACUUUAUAGCUACAUCACCCAAAAUAACCAGGUGUGCAGAGCAAUGAGGCAGACAGGGAUGGAGAGGGGAAGUACCCACAAUCAGAGAAGCUGUUACUGUGGUAAUUAGCGGCAAAUGUUUUCCCAGUCAUAUUGGAGGGAAGCAGGGUCUUCCUAUAAUAGCAGAAUAAGUACAUACAGUAAAAUGUGUAUCAUCACAUUCUGAUGGUUUCUCCAAGCAUUGUCACAUUUUAAGUUAAUAAAAACAAAAUCAGAUUAUGAGGUAGGCACAGAUAAGAAAACUGAGGUUUACAGAGAUCUUGUAUCUCAAAAAUUAUACUGUAAAGGAAGUGGCAGAAGUAAGAUAUAAACCUUGGUCUGUCUUAUUCCAAACAAAUCCUCCUAACCACUUCAUUAAACUGAAUCCUAUAAAAUGUUUCAGCAUUGGAAAUAAGAGUCUUGGGAACAGAAUAUGACUAGGAUCAGCUACAGCAUUUGUGGGACCCAGUGUAAACUAAAAACGCAAGUUCCCUUUUUCAAAAAUUACUAAGAAUUUCAAGAGAGAGAGACAGCAGUGCAUUACACAAAGUGUGGGGCCUUCUGCAUGCGGGGCCCUGUGUGACUGCAUUGGCCACACACGCCCAUGAAUAAAGCUGGACUUGGAUUUGCCAUUAGAAUACAGAACCGAGACCCGAAAAAAGGUCAUUUAAAGAACAGGCACCAGACCCCCCCCCAA